rnacentral:misc_RNA from 1 species
CCCAUCAAAAUCGUGUCAGGUCAGGGCAAUUCUCCCAACUGGAUGUGAGAUAACACGUCGCUUUUAAUAUGUUCUAAUGCAUCUAGUAUCAAUUCUACAAUUGCGACUAAACCAAUUGAAAAGCCAUAUAACAUAGCGAGCUAAUAAUCUGAAAUUUGGGGAUCAAUGGAAUAAAUCGUCAUAGAGCGGCCAAUACCAUGUUUUGCCUUAUAUUUUCCAAUGCAACAUGGGUCAACUUGUUGGAAUCUUAAUAUGGACUUGAAACCAAGUUAUCCAUCGAGACUUAACCAAAGGGGACAUCAUUGAAUCUCAUGCAAAACUCCAAGCAGCUUCCUUCCUUACCCUAGUUCCUUUCAUCAGGCUUCUAAUCUGCUGGACUUCCUCCCACUGGCCUGCAUCCGCAUAGAUGUUAGACAACAAGACAUAAGCUCCAUCAUCACUAGGGUUUAAUUCCAUCACCAUUUUGGCUGCUUUCUUCCCAAGCUCAACCUCUCCAUGUAGUUUGCAAGCAGCGAGUAGCGUUCCCCAUACUAAAGCAUCAGGGUCAAUAGUCAUAUUUUUAAUUAACUUUUCAGCCUCUUUCAAUCUCCCUGAACGACCAAGAAGAUCAACCAUACAAGCAUAAUGACGGUUAUUGGGCUGAAUGCCAAAGUCUUUGGUCAUUGAAUUAAAAAGGAAAUACCCUUCCUCAACCAAAUUGGCAUGGCUGCAGGCAAACAAAACCCCAACAAAAGUCACUGAAUCAGGCCUAAUUCCUUGUCUUCUCAUUUUCUCAUAGAUUUUUAAAGCCUCUACACCUUGUCCAUGCUGAGCAUAGCUAGCAAUCAUAGCUGACCAGCAUAUCAAGUCUGGUUCAUCAACCUGAUCAAAUGCUUUACAGCAAUCCUCAAUGUUUCCACAUUUAGAAUACAUCGUAACAAGUGAACUUCCUACUGAAACAUUUGAAUCUAAGCCCACUUUUGUAAGACGGGCAUGCAGUUGAGUCCCAAUGCCCAAUCUGUUUAAAAGUGCAAUAGCCCCAAGAACAGAUGAAACAGUGAAUGAGUCUGCUGUGACAUUAGACAUUAACAUUUCAUGAAACAGAAAUACUGCCUCUUCAAGUAGACCAUUUUGUGCAUAUCCUGAAACCAUGGAGGAACAUGACACCUGAUCUUUUUCAGGAAGCAUGUCAAACAUUUUCCUUGCUGACUCCAAAGCACCACAUUUUGAAUACAUAGAAACAAGUGCGCCACCAACUAGUGCUUCUCUGCCCACCCCAGCACGGAAAGCAUACCCAUGAAUUUCCUUUCCUUUCUGUAAGGAACGAAGGCCAGAACAUGCAGCUAGAAUUGCGAUAAAAUUCAUCUGAUCAGGUCUAGUUCCUUCAGCAAGCAUAUUUCUAAAAAGCUCAAAAGCUUGAUUUGCGCACCCAUGCUCUGUGAAACCAAUGAUCAUAGAUGUCCAUGAAAUAUUGUCUCUGACUGGAAUAUGCUCAAAGACUUUGUAAGAGUCCUCUAUACUACCACACUUAGAGUACAUUGUGAAAAGAGAACUACCAACAGAAAGAUCAAAGACAAAUCCAGUUUUAAGAGUGUAGCUGUGGAUUUGCCUGCCUAAAUUUGAGCAAUCUAUUACACUUAAGACACUAGAAAAACAAAAGCUAUCCGGUCUCAGACUCUCCUGUAGCAUUAUUUGCAACAAUUCAAUUGCCCUCUUAGAGCUCUGAUUCUGAGCUAAAGAAGAGAUCAUAGUGGCCCACAAGCGUGGAUUCCUUACAUCUUCCGAUUCUCUAAAUACCAUCUCUGACAAAUCAAUAGCAUGUACUUUUGCAUACAUAUUAAUUAAAGCAGCCUGAACAAUUGGAUCCAAAUAGAAUCCAGUUUUCAAAAUCCAGCUAUGGAUUUGGAUUGCCUCUUUAAUCAUAUCUGGCUUGGCACAAGCAGUGAUUAUACUAGUAAUAGUAAAGUUGUUUAUUUCCUCCUUUAUGAUCCUCAUUUCUUUGAAAAUUUUGAGGGCAGAGAUAGAAUCAUCCCUUUUAACGAAACCAGAUAUAAUGGCAGUCCAUGAAACCACAUUGCGAACUGGCAUCCGAGAGAAUUUCUUAACUGCUUCACCAACGUCCCCACAUUUGGCAUACAUAUCAACUAUGGCAGUCCCCACAAAGACAUCAUUUUCACAACAUUUAAUCACCAACCCUUGAACUCCUUUUCCAAUUUCAACUUCUUUGAGAGUAGCACAAGCAGUUAAAAUGCUUGAGAAGGUAAAACUAUUUGGCACCAGAGAUCUGCGACACAUUUGGCUGAAAAGAUCCAAAGCAACUGAAUUUUCUCCAUUCCUAACAGCCCCAGAGAUUAUAGAAUUCCAACAAACUACAUUCGCACAGGACACAUCAUAAAACACCUUCAGAGCAUCAUCGAACUUACUAUUUUUUGCAAAUAAAUCUAUCAUUCCUGCCCGAACAUAACCAUUUGAAUAAAACCCAUUUUUUAUUGCAAGUGAAUACACCAGCUCACCAAACAAAGGAGCUUGCAAAGCAGCACAAGCAGAAAGAGCACUCCCGUAGGUGAUAUCAUCCGGCUCAAAACCAGAAAAAUGCAUCCUACAAAACAAUCUCCACGACUCCUCAAACAACAUAUUACGAAUAUAACUAGAAAUUAUGACAUUCCAAGAAAUAACAUUUAGUUGAGGAAUUGUAUCGAACAAUUUCACGGCAUAAUGUAUAGCACCACAUUUACAAUACCAAUCAAGUAAACAGUUAGCAACAAAAAUAUCAGAUUGCAAUAGAGCUGUUUUAAGCAAAUAAGAAUGUAUAAUUUUAGUGUCUUUGACAGUAUGAUGUGUGGAUUUGGUGUAGUUACUGAAGAAGUGAAAAGGGUCAAGAACAGGAUCAGGAUGUUCCUGUUCAUAUUUGUUGGCUUUAGGAAAUGAAAGAGUAUGGAUUAUGGAUACAGAAGAUAUGAGUUUGGUAAAGGAGAUCGGAACUAUCUUGGUUUGGAAUUUUUGAUUGAUUAGACAAUUCAUUUAGUUGAGCUCCGGCAAAAAAG